CUGGUACUGACUCGCACUCCCAUCAGACCGGUGCCAAGAUGCGUGACAACGCGGCCACGGACAACAGCCGAUCGACUGUCAGGAAACAACAAUGUUAACGAUCCAAUAGCUGUCUCCGUUCUAUCGUGUCAAACUAAGUGAUUCCAGAACAUACUGACCGGGCAGCACGGAUAAAACAGAGCCGAGUUAAAAUGAUGUGAUUAAAGGCGAAACUAGACGGAGAGAUAGAGAAGAAGAAGAAGAAAUAGAAGAUGGAGAAGAGAAUAGAAAAUAGAGAGAAGGAAGGAAAUAUAUGAGUAGAGAAAUAAUUUGGUUAAUCCUACUGAGUUUUUUUAGAUUAUUUUUUACCCAAAUCUAUGUUUCUAAAGUUUAAAUAUACAUCAAAAAAGUAAAUUUUAUUAUUCGAUAAAUAUCUUUUAUUAAAGCAUUUUCGUUUCUUGAGAAGAAAGUAAAGAUUGAAAUAUAAGAAUUAGAAGGAUAGUAGUAUAAGAAUAAGAGGAACACAGCGGGGUUAAUCUAGGAUAAUAGAAGAAACAAGGUGACUUUCCGUUACUAUUUUAUGUCAAACCUCUUCAAACAUUGAAAGUUUUUUUUUGUUCAAGCAAAUAAAAAUUCGAGGAUCUUAGUAAGGGUAAGUUGGGGUAAUAGGGGAUGGAAUAGAGAUCUUGUAUAUAGAGAGACCACAUGAAAAGAGUUCUCGAAAUGUCCCGAAAUGUUUUGAAAUAUCUUCGAAAGAAAGUUAGGCAGAAAUCUUUAGGAAUCAGUUCCAGAAAUGCGGCUGGGAAAACACGGUUCUAAAUAUAAUGACUCGCAAAAGUACUCGAACGCUUGUAGAUACCUUUUAUGAAUACGUUAUGUGUGUUAUACGAAACAUAAAGAACAUUCACUAAUUUCUUUGUCUUAAUUUUAUGUAAUAUUUUUAGGCAUUAGAUAACAAUUAUAAUUUUACUAUAUAUACUAUAUAAACAUUAUAUAAUAAAUGUCCGUCAAUUCUGUCUGCGUUAAACUAUCAAAAUGUUUUACAUAACACACACAACACACACAUAAAAAGAUUUCCAUGGUAAAUAUUCAAAUACUUUCAUGAACUACUAUAGAUUUUUAAUUACUCUUUUAAUAAAUGAUCAUAGGCGUAAAGCUCGAGGCUCGUAGAUGGUGUCACACAUUCACGCAAGCUCCACUCGGACGGACACGUGAAAUAGAAAUAGAAAGAAAGAAAGAAAGAACAAUGUAUAUGGAGAAGACCGUCGAUCGUUCGUUGUAUCAUCGAUCGAUUUCAUAUUGAAUGAUUAAGAGAGCAGCGAAUAUAGUCGAAGAAGAAAGUAUAGAAUGAGAGUGUAGAGUGAAGAGAACUGGGGGUUCAGUGCAGGGCACACGCUCGCGCACACGUACGUACAAACAUAUGUAUAAAACUUUUGGGAUGUGAUUUCACACGGGUCACAACAACGCAGAGAAUAUAUCAUAUCUAUGUAUACGUCUUCGUGUUUUUGUAUAACGAAAAAAUAUAUAUAUAGAUAGAUAAAGAUAGGUAGAAGAGGAUGCAUGUGUCUUGUCAUAGAUCGAGACAGCUAAAGGUUACUUUUUAUAAUUAACACAUUCACUGCUUUAUAUUGAACGUGAGAUGCGUUUUCUGUUGGAAAUAUUUUUAUUUUAAAUAAUAAUUUAUAUCUGUUUAACACACAUUUGUUUUCUCAAUAUUUUAUUAAAACAUACAGAAUAAACAUAUAAAACACGAAGAAUAAUACGAAGAUCACAGGGGGAAAAAUAUGAUAAGUAUAUUUUUAUUGAUUUCCUGCUUUUAACUUCGCUUUAUGAUCAAAUGGAAGAACUUUUAUAUGACAUAAUUGAAAAUGAGAACAAGCUGUCAGAUCCAGAGAUGCAAGAAGGUAAUGGGCAAGCAAUAUUUUAGUCUCUUCAAUAUCGUAAUACAAUGACGAGCAUUAUUUUGAAGAUCUGUAAGGGGAUGAGAAAACACUUGUUUAACUCCACAACCAAAUAUAUAGACAAUUUUAGUAACAUAAGAUUUAUUCACAACGUACUGAAUCGUAAAGCUCCUGUGUAAAAAGUAGGAAAUGUGACUUAUUACGUUCUUUCCCUGUAGUCUUCGUAUUAUUGUUAGAUAAUCGAAAGGACGCAGCAUGUGCGUCAGUAGCAGUAGAUGUUAUUAGUCAGUCAUCUGAAUCUCCUUAAAUCCUCGAUAAACUCUAGCCGUCUCGCAAGACACGCGUUCUUCUCAGACGUAUACGUCAUUAGUAAAAGACAUUACGUAUCAUAUAUAUAUAAUAUCGUGGCUACCGAGUUUCACUGUAUUUGUUCCAAGUGUCUAAUCGAACACACGUAAGAAAAAAGAAAGGAAUUGCACGUAACAUCAAAGUUGGGACGGACCAACGGGACGGACACGUUCAAGUAUUAUAAUUUAGAAUGAUUCUCGAAAGUAACGAGACGCGUUGGACAAAGGAGAAUCGUAAUACGUGAUCGUGCUGAACAAACUCACCUCUCGUUGAAGGUUUCUUGACGCGCGUAAUUUUGAAGACUGCCUUCGUCGAUUAAAAAUUUCAUCCUCUCGAAGAAGGAAGCGGUGAUGGCCGGCGGCUGCUUUCGCAGAAGUAUAUCGAUCGGCUUCGGUGCUGACACGCAAAGUUGGCUGCUACGACAUAUAUGAUUCGAGCAACAUUCCGGAUCCGCGCAAUCGAUGAGACCGUCUGGAAAAGUAUAGUAAUGGGUUCUUUAUAUCGGAGACUAAUGGCUCUAAAUGGCUGGCAUAAGCCACACCCAUGAUUUAGAGCUCGAAGUAAUAUGAAAAUGAAACGCGAAAACACGAAGUUCUGUUCAAGAAGCACGUUGCAGUCCUUGCCAUCCCAGCCAUCGUAACACCUGCAUUCCCACUGACCAUCGUUGCCGACUCUACACUGUCCGUGUCCAGAGCAGGAAUUCGGGCAACCUUCCAUGGUGCAGUGUUUUCCAUUCCAACCAGUCACGCACAAACAGGUCCCGUUUUUACAUUGGCCGUGUUCGUUGCAUCGUGGAUCGCAUUGCUUUAGAUUACACAAUUCGCCGGACCAUCCGGGCAAACAG